rnacentral:rRNA from 1 species
AUACGUAGGUGGCAAGCGUUGUCCGGAAUUAUUGGGCGUAAAGCGCGCGCAGGUGGUUCAUUAAGUCUGAUGUGAAAGCCCCCGGCUCAACCGGGGAGGGUCAUUGGAAACUGGGGAACUUGAGUGCAGAAGAGGAUAGUGGAAUUCCAAGUGUAGCGGUGAAAUGCGUAGAGAUUUGGAGGAACACCAGUGGCGAAGGCGACUGUCUGGUCUGUAACUGACACUGAGGCGCGAAAGCGUGGGGAGCAAACAGGAUUAGAUACCCUGGUAGUCCACGCCGUAAACGAUGAGUGCUAAGUGUUGGGGGGUUUCCGCCCCUCAGUGCUGCAGCUAACGCAUUAAGCACUCCGCCUGGGGAGUACGGUCGCAAGACUGAAACUCAAAUGAAUUGACGGGG